GCCGAGGUGGCGGAAUCUGGUAGACGCGCUAGCUUCAGGAGCUAGUGCCCGCAAGGGCGUAUGGGUUCAAAUCCCUUCCUCGGUACCA
rnacentral:tRNA from 1 species